rnacentral:rRNA from 1 species
AGAAGAACAUCAGUGGCGAAGCGGCAUCUGACCAUACUGACGCUUAGGUGCGAAAGCGUGGGAGCAACAGAUAGAUACCUGUAGUCCACGCGUAACGAUGAGAACUAGCGUUGGACAUCUUGCAUGUUAGUGGCGCAGCUACGCGAUAAGUCUCCGCUGGGAGUACGGCCGCAAGGUUAAACUCAAAUGAAUUGACGGGGGCCCGCACAAGCGGUGGAGCAUGUGGUUUAUUCGAAGAACGCGAAGACCCUUACCAAUCUUGACAUCCUUUUGACCAUCAUUUAAUCAUGAUCUCUCUUCGGAGCAGAAGUGACAGGUGGUGCAUGGUUGUCGUCAGCUCGUGUCGUGAGAUGUUGGGUUAAGUCCCGCAACGAGCGCAACCCCUUGUCUUUAGUUGUCAUCAGGUAAUGCUGGACCCUCUAAAGAGACUGCCGGUGAUAAACCGGAGGAAGGUGGGGAUGACGUCAAAUCAUCAUGCCCCUUAUGAUUUGGGCUACACACGUGCUACAAUGGUCGGUACAACAGGCAGCGAAAGGGUAACCUGGAGCGAAUCCUCUAAAGCCGAUCUCAGUUCGGAUUGUGGGUUGCAACUCGCCCACAUGAAGUUGGAGUUGCUAGUAAUCGUGAAUCAGAAUGUCGCGGUGAAUGCGUUCCCGGGUCUUGUACACACCGCCCGUCACACCAUGGAAGUUGGGGGCGCCCGAAGCCAGUGAUCCAACCGUAAGGAGGAAGCUGUCGAAGGUGAAACCAAUGACUAGGGUGAAGUCGUAACAAGGUAGC